rnacentral:sRNA from 1 species
AACGUCAUUGCCAGUGGCUCCGAGGACUGCACAGUCAUGGUGAGUGAUGGUGGGGACCCAGGGGCUGGGAGAGGGGCUCUAGGAUGGGAUCUGACAUUUGGAGCCCUGAAGACUCACCUGUCCCCUCCUCUGCAGGUGUGGGAGAUCCCGGAUGGGGGCCUGAUGUUGCCCCUGCGGGAGCCUGUCGUCACCCUGGAGGGCCACACCAAGCGUGUAGGCAUUGUGGCCUGGCACCCCACAGCCCAGAACGUGCUGCUCAGUGCAGGUGCUGCGGGAGGAGGGGCCUGGGGGUGGCUGGUGGCCUGCACUGGAUAAGAGCAGGAGGCUCAUGGCUUCUGACACUGUGGGGAACGUGCAGGUUGUGACAACGUGAUCAUGGUGUGGGACGUGGGCACUGGGGCGGCCAUGCUGACGCUGGGCCCAGAGGUGCACCCAGACACGAUCUACAGUGUGGACUGGAGCCGAGACGGAGGCCUCAUUUGUACCUCCUGCCGUGACAAGCGCGUGCGCAUCAUCGAGCCCCGCAAAGGCACUGUUGUAGCUGAGAAGGAUCGUCCCCACGAGGGGACCCGGCCCGUGCGUGCAGUGUUCGUGUCGGAGGGGAAGAUCCUGACCACGGGCUUCAGCCGCAUGAGUGAGCGGCAGGUGGCGCUGUGGGACACAGUGAGUGCUGGGGCAGGAAGCUGAGGGCCCCCAGGCUGGGAACCAAGACUGGAGGUUUCCUCCCUGCUCUGCCACUCACCUGGCAGGAUGGCCACGGGCCUCAGUUUACCCAGGCGUGAGAUGGGUGUUCCCACUGGUUGGUUGGGAGGGCCCUCACAGGUCACUGCCCAGGGAAGACCACCAUCCCAGGGCCUGGGAUGUUACCUCUCACCUGUGUCUACAGAAGCACCUGGAGGAGCCGCUGUCCCUGCAGGAGCUGGACACCAGCAGCGGUGUCCUGCUGCCCUUCUUUGACCCUGACACCAACAUCGUCUACCUCUGUGGCAAGGUGGCCUCGUCAGGCAGGGUGGGGGUGGGAGGUGGGCAGGAUGGGCCUGGAGAGGGCCAGGGCAGCGGGCAUCUGCUGGUAUUGACCCUCCCUCUGCACCUGCCACCUACAGGGUGACAGCUCUAUCCGGUACUUUGAGAUCACUUCCGAGGCCCCGUUCCUGCACUAUCUCUCCAUGUUCAGUUCCAAGGAGUCCCAGCGGGGCAUGGGCUACAUGCCCAAACGUGGGCUGGAGGUGAACAAGUGUGAGAUCGCCAGGUGACUGACCCCCGGCCCUGACCGCAGCAUGCCCCUUAGGCAGUUCCAAGCCUGCCCAACCAGACUGUGGGCCCCGCUCACCUUCCCCUUCCCACAGGUUCUACAAGCUGCACGAGCGGAGGUGUGAGCCCAUUGCCAUGACAGUGCCUCGAAAGGUGAUGCUCCCCCGCCCCACCCUGGGCUCCAGGCUGGGCACUGACUUUGCAGUCUUGCAGGGGGAUGUCCUGGCAUAAGUGCUUUCCUCACUAUCCUUGGCCUUGCCUACAGUCGGACCUGUUCCAGGAGGACCUGUACCCACCCACCGCAGGGCCUGACCCUGCCCUCACGGCUGAGGAGUGGCUGGGGGGUCGGGAUGCUGGGCCCCUCCUCAUCUCCCUCAAGGAUGGCUACGUACCCCCAAAGAGCCGGGAGCUGAGGGUCAACCGGGGCCUGGACACUGGGCGCAGGAGGGCAGCACCAGAGGCCAGUGGCACUCCCAGCUCGGUGAGAGGGCCAGGAAGCCAAGGAAUAAAACUGGGAGGGUGGGGUGGGGCUGGCAUUUGGGGCAGCUCAAACUCACAACAUUGGGAAUCUUUGCGGGGCUGGGAGUGGUAAUCCUGAGGCCUCAGAACACAGGUUUCAGACUGGUAGGCCUGCAGGUCUCCAGGCAGCAACCAGCUGAGCAACUAAAGGGCCCAAGGCCAGGGCUCUAGGGAUGGGGCUCAGCAGAUGCUGGGGCAAGGGGAGCCAGGGAGGAGCUGGGCCUAAUGCAGCACCGCGUCCCCAGGAUGCCAUGUCCCGGCUGGAGGAGGAGAUGCGGAAGCUCCAGGCCACGGUGCAGGAGCUCCAGAAGCGCUUGGACAGGCUGGAGGAGACAGUCCAGGCCAAGUAGAGCCCCACAGGGACUUCAGCAGGGUCAGCCAUUCACACCCAUCCACUCACUUCCCAUUCCCAGCCACAUGGCAGAGAAAAAAAUCAUAAUAAAAUGGCUUUAUUUUCUGGU